GUCACCGAGAAGAGAGAGGAAGAAGGGCGCUGCCGUGUGGGCCAGAUGCGCCAGAGAGGGAUAAGGAGAGGGGAGGUGUGCGCAGCCUGGGCUUUUGCCCUGCGGUUUGGGCCGGGGUGGGAUACUGGGCCGCGCGAGGGGGAGGGAAGCAGGCCAGGGGCAGGCUUGGGUCGAGCGCAGGUAUGUUUUCUUACUUUUUCUUUUCUUUUUUUACUUUUCCAAAACCUUUUUCUAAAUAGAAAUUUGAAAACAAACUGAGUUCCAAACAAAUGUCAGCAGCACAAAAUAAAAAUACUCCAGCAUGAAUGCGAAAUCAAGGUUGCUAAACCUAUGAUGAAUUUUAUUUUCAACAAAAAUUAUUUAAGUGCUAAAUUUAAAUGCUCACAAAAAUACUUAAAUAAAUCUAAUUAAAUCAUAUAUAUUUAAAACAGAUUUUUGGGUGUUACACAGCAUAAUCAUUAGCAUCACAUAUAAUUUCAAAAGGUAAAGACCAAUCAGGAGGUUGUAUGAUUGGUGCUGAUGUGAGUGCUUCUUUGAGAAUAUUAAAUGAUUCUAAGCAUUCAUCAUCAAAUUCAAAAAGUACAUCCUUAGCUAAGAAUCUAGUCAUGG
rnacentral:lncRNA from 1 species